rnacentral:rRNA from 1 species
GAUGAACGCUGGCGGCGUGCCUAACACAUGCAAGUCGAGCGAUCUUCUUCGGAAGAGAGCGGCGGACGGGUGAGUAACGCGUGGGUAACCUGCCCUGUACACACGGAUAACAUACCGAAAGGUAUGCUAAUACGAGAUAAUAUACUUUUAUCGCAUGGUAGAAGUAUCAAAGCUCAGGCGGUAUAGGAUGGACCCGCGUCUGAUUAGCUAGUUGGUAAGGAACGGCUUACCAAGGCGACGAUCAGUAGCCGACCUGAGAGGGUGAUCGGCCACAUUGGAACUGAGACACGGUCCAAACUCCUACGGGAGGCAGCAGUGGGGAAUAUUGCACAAUGGGCGAAAGCCUGAUGCAGCAACGCCGCGUGAGCGAUGAAGGCCUC